rnacentral:rRNA from 1 species
GUACGUAGGCAGCGAGCGUUGUUCGGAGUUACUGGGCGUAAAGGGUGUGUAGGCGGUUCUUUAAGUUGGUGUGAAAUCUCCCGGCUCAACCGGGAGGGUGCGCCGAAUACUGAGGGACUAGAGUACGGGAGAGGAAAGUGGAAUUCCUGGUGUAGCGGUGAAAUGCGUAGAUAUCAGGAGGAACACCGGUGGUGUAGACGGCUUCUGGACCGUAACUGACGCUGAGACACGAAAGCGUGGGUAGCAAACAGG